GAUGAACGCUGGCGGCGUGCCUAAUACAUGCAAGUCGAGCGAACGGACGAGAAGCUUGCUUCUCUGAUGUUAGCGGCGGACGGGUGAGUAACACGUGGAUAACCUACCUAUAAGACUGGGAUAACUUCGGGAAACCGGAGCUAAUACCGGAUAAUAUUUUGAACCGCAUGGUUCAAAAGUGAAAGACGGUCUUGCUGUCACUUAUAGAUGGAUCCGCGCUGCAUUAGCUAGUUGGUAAGGUAACGGCUUACCAAGGCAACGAUGCAUAGCCGACCUGAGAGAGUGAUCGGCCACACUGGAACUGAGACGCGGUCCAGACUCCUACGGGAGGCAGCAGUAGGGAAUCUUCCGCAAUGGGCGAAAGCCUGACGGAGCAACGCCGCGUGAGUGAUGAAGGUCUUCGGAUCGUAAAACUCUGUUAUUAGGGAAGAACAUAUGUGUAAGUAACUGUGCACAUCUUGACGGUACCUAAUCAGAAAGCCACGGCUAACUACGUG
rnacentral:rRNA from 1 species